UAUAUAUUGCCUUAAAAAAAGAAAGAAAAAUCAGGUGGAAGGGAGGGGUGAUAGUGAUGGUGAGAGAAAAGAAGAAAAAAAAUACCCUAUGCGCUCUCGUGUGCAUGCACACACACGCAUGCACACACACACAUAUACGUACACACACUUCUUCCUAUUAACGUCAAAUUCAAUUUCCAUGUACUAUUUCCUUUGUUAACACCAAAUGAUUCACGUAUCCGUUCUGGCAUGAAAGAAGCAACGGGCUCUUCAACCAAUUGACCACUUCAUAUCUUUCACACCCAGCCCGUUCUACGAGCCCUUCUCUUUUGCCCACCCUUGUUAACACUCAACGCUUUCUCUCUCUCUCUCUCUUUCUCUCUCUCGUUCUCUCUCUCACACACACACACACACACAUACUCUCUGCGGGUUGUAGUUUUACUGGCGAAGGAACAUCUCCCAUUUCUAAGCUCAUGUAACACGAUCAAUGUGCCUCUGGAAAUCCGAUAUAUUUCCAAUGAUAUAGACGAUAACAUAGAAACGACAGAUAGUUUAUAAUCUCAACGGGAUGAUCCUUCAAUUAUUGGUUGACCUAAUGUAUGAGACGUUAUACAUAGUUCUUCGUUUCUAGGAACACAGGGUGGGACAGAAAGUUUUUAGGUCAUUUUAUAAAAGUCAAUUAUCUAUUCUCCCUUAAUCGAAACUUUUUUUCGAUUAAGGAAGAAAAAUUGUUUUCCUUUCCUCUUUCUUUCUUUUCUUUUUUCUUUUUCCUUUUCUCUUUCGUUUUUCUUUUUUUUUUUUCUUUCCAAAGAAGCUUAGGAAUUUCUUCGUUUUUUUCUUUUUUUUUUUUUUUAUCCACCCCUAGGAACUUUUAAUCUUUCAAAUACUAAUCAUUCUAUGUUCGUAUGACGAUUCGUUCUUCUAAUUUAAAAGGGGAUAAUAAUGUAUGGAGAAGUAAAGAGGAAAGAAUUGCACGUUAUCAAAUGGAAGAACAAAAUGGCCGUUUCAAGAAGAAACUAAAAUGGCUAACAGAAAGAGGAUGUGUCAUAAAAUGGGGAAAUCGUAUUAUAAGGUUUAUGAACAGUUAAAAGUAAUAAAUAUGUGAUAUCAAUGAGAUAUUUUUUAUCCCCUGGUAUAUACCGUACAUCCUUCCAUCUUGUCCCAACAAAAUGGUCGUUCGUAGAAGAAAAUAAAAUGCCUGGACAAAGAGGGUGUAACAUAAAACUAAUCGAAGUAUUGGUUAUGUAAAUAAAAACAAAAUGGCUGAAUAGAGGAGUUGGUGGGCUAGGUAGGGGAGGUGGAUGCCUGUAUCAUAAAACGAAUCGAAGUAUAGGUUAUGGAACGCCCUUGCGACCUCGACUUCUGGCUUUACUGAAAACGCAAAAAAAAAAGAGAGAGAGAGAGAGAACUUUAGUGGUUUUGGAGAAGAACAGAAUUGAUCGAUCUUUUCCUCCUGUAAAGAGAAAGAGAGAGAAAGAAAUCUAUGAAAUGGUUGGGGUAUCAUCUUGGUGAAGGAGAACAGAAGUGGGCAAUGUUAGUGGAGAGAGAAAGAGACACAGAGACAGAGAGAAGAAAAGGAUAGAGAGGGA